rnacentral:rRNA from 1 species
GUCGAACGAGAGGACUGGGAAGCUUGCUUCCUAUGAAAUCGAGUGGCAAACGGGUGAGUAACGCGUAAACAACCUGCCCUUCGGAUGGGGAUAACAGCCGGAAAUGGCUGCUAAUACCGAAUACGAUCUUUUCGUCGCAUGACGGAAAGAAGAAAGGAUGGCCUCUAUACAAAGCUAUCGCCGAAGGAGGGGUUUGCGUCUGAUUAGCUGGUUGGAGGGGUAACGGCCCAACAAGGCGAUGAUCAGUAGCCGGUCUGAGAGGAUGAACGGCCACAUUGGGACUGAGACACGGCCCAGACUCCUACGGGAGGCAGCAGUGGGGAAUCUUCCGCAAUGGACGAAAGUCUGACGGAGCAACGCCGCGUGAGUGAAGAAGGUCUUCGGAUUGUAAAGCUCUGUUAUACGGGACGAAAAAGACGGAUGCCAACAGUAUCCGUCCGUGACGGUACCGUAAGAGAAAGCCACGGCUAACUACGUGCCAGCAGCCGCGGUAAUACGUAGGUGGCAAGCGUUGUCCGGAAUUAUUGGGCGUAAAGGGCGCGCAGGCGGUUCGGUAAGUCUGUCUUAAAAGUGCGGGGCUUAACCCCGUGAGGGGACGGAAACUGUCGAACUUGAGUGUCGGAGAGGAAAGCGGAAUUCCUAGUGUAGCGGUGAAAUGCGUAGAUAUUAAGAGGAACACCGGUGGCGAAAGCGGCUUUCUGGACGACAACUGACGCUGAGGCGCGAAAGCGUG